rnacentral:rRNA from 1 species
GGCGGCUAUACUGCAGUCGAGCGGACAGAAGGGAGCUUGCUCCCGGAUGUUAGCGGCGGACGGGUGAGUAACACGUGGGUAACCUGCCUGUAAGACUGGGAUAACUCCGGGAAACCGGAGCUAAUACCGGAUAGUUCCUUGAACCGCAUGGUUCAAGGAUGAAAGACGGUUUCGGCUGUCACUUACAGAUGGACCCGCGGCGCAUUAGCUAGUUGGUGGGGUAAUGGCUCACCAAGGCGACGAUGCGUAGCCGACCUGAGAGGGUGAUCGGCCACACUGGGACUGAGACACGGCCCAGACUCCUACGGGAGGCAGCAGUAGGGAAUCUUCCGCAAUGGACGAAAGUCUGACGGAGCAACGCCGCGUGAGUGAUGAAGGUUUUCGGAUCGUAAAGCUCUGUUGUUAGGGAAGAACAAGUGCGAGAGUAACUGCUCGCACCUUGACGGUACCUAACCAGAAAGCCACGGCUAACUACGUGCCAGCAACCGCGGUAAUACGUAGGUGGCAAGCGUUGUCCGGAAUUAUUGGGCGUAAAGGGCUCGCAGGCGGUUUCUUAAGUCUGAUGUGAAAGCCCCCGGCUCAACCGGGGAGGGUCAUUGGAAACUGGAAAACUUGAGUGCAGAAGAGGAGAGUGGAAUUCCACGUGUAGCGGUGAAAUGCGUAGAGAUGUGGAGGAACACCAAUGGCGAAGGCGACUCUCUGGUCUGUAACUGACGCUGAGGAGCGAAAGCGUGGGGAGCGAACAGGAUUAGAUACCCUGGUAGUCCACGCCGUAAACGAUGAGUGCUAAGUGUUAGGUGGUUUCCGCCCCUUAGUGCUGCAGCUAACGCAUUAAGCACUCCGCCUGGGGAGUACGGUCGCAAGACUGAAACUCAAAGGAAUUGACGGGGGCUCGCACAAGCGGUGGAGCAUGUGAUUUAAUUCGAAGCAACGCGAAGAACCUUACCAGGUCUUGACAUCCUCUGACAACCCUAGAGAUAGGGCUUUCCCUUCGGNGACAGAGUGACACGUGCUGCAUGNUUGUCGUCAGCUCGUGUCGUGAGAUGUUGGGUUAAGUCCCGCAAC